GUGAGUGACAACAUGAGGCUCAAUAAACUGUACCUUUUAUUCUUUAACCAAGAGAGUGCAAUGAGAGUAAUAAAAAAGUUCUCAGCGUUGCAGAGAGCACAUAAAAGUGGGCUGCAGUAUUGAUUCCACCAGAAUCAAUCUGGAUCUUGAUCCAGACCAGGAUCAAGAUCAAGGAUAGACCUGGGUACUCAGGACUCCUCCAGCACUCCUCCUGCUAGCUGUCAUUGUUCUGGGCACAUUUGCUGAUUCCUCUGAGGAUUAAGAGUUGGAUGUCAGUGUAUUCAGACACAUUCUGACUUUAUUCCUCACCAAUUCAUUAAAAAUGAUCAGUUGAUACAUAAGGAUCCUUUCUGCAGAAGAAAAGAAGUCAAACCACACUGAAAGAUGGGAAAAUAAUUUCUUCGGAUCCCUGCAUAUGUGCAUCUGAACAUGGGAGAGAGAAAAAUAAAGAGGGGCAGACAGAAAAUAAAACACAUCUCCUCAGAAGAAACAAACUGUUAGUCUUUAGAGUGGUGAUAUGUAUAUAUUGAAAGAGAACUAGACAAAAAGUUCAGACGUUUGGGCUCUAUGAUUCUGAGCAAGCAUCUGAGCUUCUUUAUACUCAGUUGUAAAUGUUAAAACAUGGGAAAAUGAAACAAAACAUCUCCUCCUUGACAAAACUGUCAAGAGGAGAUAAUAAAAUUGAAAGUGCUUUGAACAUAAACAUGAAAAAUCAGAGUGUUGUUCUUAUUAAAACUAUGAGAUCACUUCUUAAUUAGUACUUAGAAAAGCAAGUUUUGUGGAACCUGUUCACAUUGCCCUAUCCAUAACUACAUAUGCACCAAACCACUAAAUUAUCUGUAGCAGGUGCCAAGUUUUACUGCUGUAGAUCAUAGCAAAAAUGAUAAUAGUUAUUAAGCUGUAUACUAACAAGUACCUCUGAGAUUGAGCUCUGUGAAAAAAAAAAAUCCAUCUCAGGACAACAAGUUCAAGACCAAGUACUUUAGCACAUAAAAUUCCAAAUUUCUGGGGAAAGGGAUCCAGUUAGCACAGUUUGAGUCAUGCACUCACUCAUGGUCUACCCCUCUGUGGGCAGGAAAUGAGAAACACACCACAGAGACAUGGCUGCCAGAAGUCCUCCCAGGGUGAGGCAGGCGAUUCUUGGAGUAACAGACAGACAUCUCAGUGGGACCUCCCUACCACUCAGAGAGCAUUCUUCUUAAAUCUGAGGGAAGAGUAAAUAACUGUGGGUACUUUUGGUUUCAGAAGGAUUUUUUUCAGGGGUAAAGGGGGAGUGAUAAAAAUAACCUGAAAACCUUUAAAUUACAAGUCACCUAAAACACUGACUAUGGAAACAAUUCUUUUAAAUGAAUAGCUUAGCUCUCUAGAAAGUAGUAAAAACCCCCAGGACCUCAAAAAAGAGCAAUCAGAAAAUAGGACAAGAAAUUUCAUAGGUUAGUGCCAUGGAUUGUGCAGAGUAAGGCUUGAAGAUGGUUGCUCCAUCAGUAACCUAGAUGUUGACAUUUUUAUCUCACGUUAGAACAGAAGACAUGGCUGUGGAUCCUUGUAAGACAGAGAGUUGUAACAAAGGUCCUUGUAUAAAAUCAGAACCCUCAAUAGAAAUAAAUCUACUAAAAACACUGAUUUACAAUAAGGAGGCAUGUUUGUCUUAACAUGAACAACAGGUUGAAGAAAAAACAAUUUCUUGAGAAAUUAUUUGGGAUUCUGUUAUAACACCUGUUUGGGCUUGGAACCCCUUGGUACCAUAGAAGGAGGCCCAGAUCAAUACCUGGCAGAAAUGAAACUAAAACUGCGCUAAUCAGAUAUAUCUUCAAUAGGCACCACACAGAAGUCUGAAAGAUAAAGCCACACUGAAGAUGGGUUAAUAGUCCAAAUUCAUAAAACUCUGGAGAAACCAUCCACCCUAAACAGGAGUUAAAACUUGGAAUGAACAGCACUCCUAAAUUGAAAGCGUUAAAAUCAACAAAGAAGACCAUUAUAAACAUGUUUCAAAUCAUUAGACAUCAAAGAAGGACUUGAAAUAUAAGAAUAAAAUAAGAUACUAGGAAGUUAAACAGAUUUGGAAGGCGGAUGGGGAAAAUCUAAAACAGAUAAUAGAAAAAAAAAAGAAUAGCAAAUUUGAAAAAAAAAGGCGCUUCUAGAAAUAGAAACACAACGAUACAAUGUGAAAUUUCAUAGGGUGGCUUAAGCAGUAUAUUUGACUCAUCUAAAGACAAAAUUAUUUUGGAAGAUCUGAGGAAAUUACUAUGCAGCAGAGAUAAAAAUAUAGAAUAUAUUAUACAAUAGGAGGUUAAGAAGCUUUAAAAAUAGUAUGAGAAUAUCUAACUUAUUUCUGAAAGAAAUUCUAGACCACAGGGAGAGGGAGAAUAGGUAAAAAGUAAUAUUUGAAAGGAUAAUGAUUGAGAAUUUUGUAGGAUAGAUGAAACCCCCAUGUUCAAGAAGCCAAAUACAUUUUAAGCAGAACAGAAAAAUAAAACAUUCAGCUGCAAUGUACUGAAAGUACAAGAUCCAAAAGAUAAAGACCUGAUAAUGAAUAAUCAUGUUCUAGAAGGACAAUUAAAGAAAAGAUCAAACCAGAGCCAAGUCUCUGGAAAUAAUGUAUUUUCUCUAAAAUGGAACUGCUUUGGUUGAAUUAGUUUUAAAACAAUAUUAAAUUGCUGUGGUUUUUUAAUGCAACUCUGUAAUGAAGAAUCAAGGACACUAAGUUUGGCUUAUGUUAGUUAUGAUUAAAUGUCAUAUGGUUUCUAAGAGAUGCAGUGAACUACUAAUAAAAACAUCAGGAUUAAUGAUGUAUUUAUUGAUCAACUAAUUUUCAUAGUAAUUUUUUGCUUCCAUAUGUUUGUGGUUCAAAUCCUAUAUACCCAAUGAUUCAUACAUUUUACAUAUUUUCUAUGAUUUUUUUUCUUCAGGUUCAAAGUUUUUUUCAAAAAGUAAGCUGCUGGACACAUUGAGAAAAGUGGAUCAUUUGUAUUGCUCUCCACCCAUCCAUCUUAAUGUGAUAAUGUGGAGAAGUGCUAAAAAUUAAAAGUUAAAACAGGGUUUGGGGCAGACAGACCCUAGAUCUAGCAUUUACAAGUUAUGUGUUUUCAGGCAAAUAACAUUUCUGAAUCUGUUUUCUCCUAUAAAAUGUUAACAUUAAUGUCUACUUUAUUUGAAGUUUGUUGAGAAUAUUAAAAAAGCAAAUGCCUUCUACUGAUUUAUGCCCUACAAGUCAUAGCAAAUUACUUACAGUGUUUCUGAAAAUACUGUUCAACUUCUUGGCUUAAAGUUUUUGUUCAUACAGUUCCCUCUGUACAGAUCAAUUCCCUUUGCUCUGCCUCCUUACCCUUCACCUGACCUAACAUUUAAAGGAUCUGAGGUCUGAAGAAUGACUUUAGUUUGUGUGUCAUCAACUCCAGCUUCCCACACCCCUUAAGUGCGGGUUAUCUGUUCCUCUUCAUCUACAUAAGCUGCCAAAAUUUCAGUUGUUUCACAUUUAACUUCAUUUCAUGGAGGAAGCUUUUGAAUCAAAUCAAAUGUAAAUGACUUUCCAAAGAUUAUAAAACUAGUUAGUGACAGAGCCAAGGCAUGAAGCCAGGAAUCCUCAUUUUUAUCUUAAAUUACCUCUGCUGCUUAUACUUCAGUUAGCAGGGCUAGCCCCACCCUGGUUACGCCCAAGCUCUGUGGGGUGCUGAAACAUAAAAUCUUCAGAAGGAUACCCUCUGUGUAUUUCUGCGUGAGGUGCAUUUCUUCCCCAUGACACAGUGAUUAAUUCAUCAGGCCUUCUAAGACAUCCUGACUGCUGCUCCUUGCCAGCUCUGCUAUCCUUUCACUGGAUUAUCAGGAUCAAGAUACUGGGAGAAUGAAGUCUUCUCUUUGCCAAAACUCUGACCUGGGCAUCUCUUCCAACUUUCCUACUCGAUGUGGACCAGAACAUUCUUGUCCAGCAUUACUAAACCCUUGCUGGAUAUGAUUGUCUAGUCUGAUGUUAAAUUCACAAGUCUAUUUGGCUUUCUCACCAAGCCAUAUCUUCUGUGGUGUUCCUUAAAAGCAAUAAACAUACAUUGGUGUAGAUAUGCUCUUCCUUUGCUUUUUUCUUAAUUUUUCAGGAUAAUAGAGUAGGUGUCCAUUCAUACUUUUAGCAGGAAUUGUGAAAUUUUUAAUGAAAGUUGGACCUUAUCAAAUACUUUUGCAACAUCGACUAGAGAUAAUUUAAUUAUCUCUCUUUUUUUGUUUUGUUACUCUUUUCACAAAUAGACACCAAUGUGGGGCUUAAUAAAUCAUUUUUGCAUUAAAUUAUAAUUAAAUGUUUAAAUGUUUAUGAGUAAAUGGAGUUAUCAUAAAAAGUAAUAGUAGUGUUUACUCUUCUUACUAUAUAUUUUCAGAUACGAUUGUUAAAAGUAAGUCCUUUUUAAAUCAUAUUAAUUAAAGCUACCAGUGAGGAACAUCAGUGGGGGUGUGGCUCCUAUUCAGGUUUUAGCUGUUAAAAAUAUUUUCCAUUACCACCAAAUAUAGAAUCAGAAAAUGUCUUGAGAAAGCAAUCAACAUAUCGUAGAUCACUGUAUAGAAAACAUAAGUUAUAGUUUCCAGGGUGUAUAAGAACAUCAUGGAGCAUGAAGAUGUUACCAACUAAAUGUAUAUGAAUAUACAAUUUUAAAUAUUUAUAUUUGAUGAAAGAGUAGAUUCAGAUUAAUGCCCUAAUGUUUUUAUGUACUAAACAUAACCUUACGGAUUUAUUUUCCAAAGACUAACAUAAAAAUUAAAUAUGCAUUUAAAAUGAUUUUUAAUGCAGCAUCAUAAGGCAAUGACCUGAAAGUGGGAGCAAGAAGACAUAGCUUUGAAGAGUUAUACAAAUGUGACAAUUCUGAAAAUAAGUUGAGGUGUUUAAAAGUAUAGAUGCUAGAGAUGGAUAAAUCUAUAUAUGAAUGUCAGCUUUAGAACAUAUUAGCUGUGUGACUUUGGAAAUAUUACUUAACCUCUGUGAGCCUCAGUUUCCUUGUCUGCAAAAGGAAAAGAAAAAUAGAAAGCACCAUACCACCAUCAAGUUUGCUGUAAGAGAUACAUGUAAAGUGUUAACAUAGAUACCUGGAAUAUAACAAAUUUUC
rnacentral:lncRNA from 1 species